ACUCUAUCUUUAGGGAAAUUAGCACAAGAAGGAGAUACCGGCAAAACGGGAGAAAAGAAUGCUAAAAGUACGGGGCCAAAAAUUGACUCCACUAAGAAAAGCAGCAAAGAUGGAGGAGCUCAAGCAAGAGCUGGUAUUGAGGAAACUAAUA